GAAUCUGGCCGAAAAAAGCAAAAACUGCUAAUUUCUUGCUUCCAUGGUUAAACUCCAUGGCAGAUUCA
rnacentral:tRNA from 1 species